ACUCUUUAAAUCAUGCGAAAAAAGAGCUAUAUCUAAGAUGUCAAGGAUACUUGACUAUAGUGAUAAACGUCCUUCGGAAUAGGCGUUUCGGACCCGGGGGCGGAACCCGGCACCUCCACCAGAUUUAUUAUGGGGGUGAAUGAGGAUCGACGAGCGUAAUAAAGGUUAGAUUUUCACUCGGCAUUGUACCACCGUUAUCGGGCUAAAUACAUAAAUGCAAAAGAUAUGAAUGCAUUUGGUCGUAUGGCUGCUAACUUAAAUGCUAGCAACCACAAUGGUGCUGAGGCAGCUGUAGUAUUAGCCGCUUAAUCCCAUAAACGAUCGCGGCUUGAGGGGCGCCGGGCAACAGAAGCCCCUCAUU
rnacentral:tmRNA from 9 species